GCUGUAGUGGCUUAGAGGUAUAGCACUCCCUUGGUAAGGGAGAGGUCGAGGGUUCGAUUCCCUCCUACAGCACCA
rnacentral:tRNA from 1 species